AGGUAGAAGAGGCCAUAACCUAAACGCUGGCACGUGACUCACGCGUGAAACGUGCACGAGAAGCUACACCUUUCAUCCUGCUUCACUGUGGCAGCCGUCCACCACGGAGCAGGAAAUUAAUGGCUUCACGGACGAAUUUCAUGGACCUACAUGGACCUACAUGGACCUACUGAUCCGAGGACUGUGGAAUGACUUGACUGACUGCUCUUGUAUUUUGUCAGGGGUCAGGAGUGCUGUAAGGGUCCAGUGGCACGGGCCAGUAUUACCCAAUUCUCAGGAGAGUAUAACCGUGAAUGCAUCUAAGAGAGCACUAGGUAGAAGACACGUGUAACGCGUGGGAGAAGUACCCACGUGGAUAGGGAUUCUCUGGAGGAGUUGGGAACCGCAUUCCAGAUGGCGUCUGGCGCCACAAGAGGUUCUCAAUAUUAGCGUUAUCCAGGAAACGGAUGCUGCUCAGAAAAGAUAGAAAGAAUCUCCAGAAUUUAUUGAUCCGAAAGAUACUGCAUUAAACCGAAAGAAAAAAAAAAAAAAACUCAUAAAUGAUCAAAAGGAAUGUUGGGUACUAAGAGGAUGAGGAUACCAAGAGAGAAUCCUGAUUAAGAUAGUCGGAUCAAGGAUGGCAAAUUCGCCUGUAUAGCGAAUGACGAUGAACAGUAAUUUUAUGCGAGAUCGUCCAACAGUAUCUCUGACGUCAUUUGUGUCUGAAAAAUAAUAGGAAAUGAUGGAUUAUUAAUGUCCAUGGUUUAAGGGUUGAUCGUGAUUAAAAGAGUGAUGGUUACCAAGGUAUCCAGGGUACGCAAAUAGAAUGGAGGAUGCUAUAAAUUUCUUGGCGUUACAGCAGACUCUGGCAUCAUCUCCUUUGUCAAGACAGCUACGUAAAUUCAAGGCGUGCAGCAUCCCUUCGCGUUAGACUUACGUGCACGUAACUGGCUGUGCUUGACUUUAUGAUAAUGUAAAUGCGUUCCGACAGCUUGGUCUUGUACGAUCAAAUGAACUGCCUAUGGAAUAGAGAUUGAUGAGAUGAGCUUCUUACUAUGUGCUUACAUUCUUUAAUCAUCUUAAUUUUUUUUUAUUCGUUUCAAGUUAUCUCAGUCAUAUAUAUAUUCAAGAGAGACAUUUUUGGUAAGAUCAAUUUUCUUCUUUCCUAUGUAAAAUAAGCAAGCUGCUGUCUCGACGAUUAAGAAAUCUCAAUGGAAUUCUCGUGGUGGAUGCAGCAUCCGCGUAUUCAUAGUAAAUACAAUGUGGCGUGUGCUUGAUAGGAAUGACGUGUGCGUCUGAAAGAUAAAGAGAGAAGAACUAGAAGAGCAUUGAGUAGGUAGGCACAUAUAGGGUGAUUAUAAAAUCAAUUAUAAUUAAGGUAUAUAAUAUCUAAUAUAAUAAGGUAUCCUUAAAACAGGAAAUGAAGUAUCAUCAAACAUUUUUGAAUGUCGCUACUAUAUGUAUAUAGCGUUUAUUAAAUUUUUACAAUUAUUAAAAUAUUUUAUUAUUUAAUUUACGUAGGUACUCGAAGGAAGUUAAGGUUGUUCAUUGUGAUGCUUAAAGAUACUUAUAAUGACUUUUUAAUUAUUGAUCAUUUAAGUACACUUAAGUUUGAUUAUAAUUUUUAAUCACCCCGUAUGUCUACCUCAUAGGUGUGUAAGAAGGAGUAGGCAUGUUAGGCAUUGCUUCUACAAUAUAUAGAAGUCGCACCAUCUGCAUAGGUUUUACCCUUAGAGAUUCCAAGAUAUGAAUCCGGUUUACGAGCUACGGAUAGAAUUGACUGUCCGUUAAGUUUAAAAAUAGAAAUGCCUCUCCCAAUGCGAUAUAUGGACUAUAGACUAUAAAGUCGUCAGACAUCUGCCUUGCGAGUGAACUACAAGUUCCAGUAAGCUCAGUGAAUUUCCCUUAAAGAAAUAUGACAGGAAUUUUAUGCACAGAGUCAAGAAAUGGAAAGGAGAAAACCUUUAAAGAUUUCUAAAUCAAUCUUAAUUUGAUAUCAAAUUCAAUUCCGGAUAAGUAUUCAUCUCGUAUCGAUUGAACAAUUCCUAUAAAUCUGUACCCUCUUGUCGAUUGUCUUGAAUUCAAAUAACCUUUCCAAUUCUAGAAUUUAAAAAUAUCGAAAUUUCAGUCGCAUAAAUUCCAAGUAAUUUGUGAUUCAAAAGUAAUAUGGAACUUAGUAAAAUUGAAUACUAUAUAAAUGUACAGUCGAGUACAAAAGAUUAAACUUAUAGAUACCAUAGGUAAUGUAGUAUGAAAUACGGGUAUAGUGUAACGAGUCGUCAUUAUAAAAUUCUCCAAGAGUAUUUUCUCCCACGAAGUUAAAAUGGCGCAUUAUCCGCAGACACGCAUCGUUCAGGGUCAGAGAGAACGAAUUCCGUUAUGGAGACGCCCAGGUCGAAGGGUACGUCCAUGCUGGGAAGAGGGCGAAUGAGACUGAGGAAAGUAAAGGAUAAAAACAGAAAGAGAUUAAAAGGAUAAAAGGAGAAACACAAGAGGAGAAUAUCGCCUAGAGUCACAAAGUCUUGAAUAACCCGAGAGAAAUGGCGUCCAUAAAUAAAAUAUAAAAGCCAGUAGCUCGAAGCGAUCGAUAGCAAACCCUUCGUCAUCAUCAUCAGCGGGGCAGAGACCUGCAGCAUCUCUACUCUAAAUAUUUCUCCAUUAAAGCUAACCUCCUUCUCUUCCUAUCGUUCAUCCAGUUUCUACUAGCCGCAACUACAUAAAUAUUACGUACCAACCUCAUACCAUAAACGAGACACCUUUCUCAUCUUUCUCCUUUCAGUAUUCUCCUCCUUGUACAUCAAAAACCUCUUGCAAGUCUUCCAAUUCGUGGCGGCCAUUUUUUUCUGCCUUAGGCUACGUCUCCUUCUGUACUAGACGUAUUCUGUAUUCCUAUGGCAUAUCGACUCCGGAACGCAUUAGAAAGACUCAUGUAAUAGCAGGGAUCGUUCCUGGCAUGCAGGAUCAUUCAGGACAGUUAGAUAUUCAAAUAACCCCGCCAAGAGCCGUUUCAGUGACGAUGCUGAUUCUUCACUGAAAGAUUCCUGCCAGUGUACCGUUUCGUGCUACGAAACCGAGAUGACAUUCCUGACUGGGUGAAAACACGAGAACAGUGCCUUAUGCUAUUCACGUAUCACUAUGUAUGUACUACAUACUAUAAUAUCUACCAUACGGAUAAGAAUAUGAACUUUGAACUUUCCUCAGAGACAACCACCACGAGAAUAAUUUCAUAUAAAACCAAUUUCAUCACAUACGUAUGUCAAGUUACGAUAUCGUUGCUUUGACAUGAAUAAACAGUUACCUAUAACACUGUAUUUGAUCAUGGACCAUUCUGGAAAAUAGGUCAAUGUCUCUGGUAGAGGGUCAACAGUUUUGAUAACAUUGUGGCGAUAACGUUAUCGCGAUUGUACCAAUUUGUGUUACAAGACUUUAACUUAGGUUAUAUGUAUACACAUUGGCGUAGCAUACUAGAAUCCACAGCGUACCACAGCGUACCGGCUUGCUAGGAUGUUAGGAUAAUCGAGGGUGCGUUCCGAAAUGUAUUGACAGUACUGCCAGUACUGUAACCCACGCUGUGUCCUUAUUCAUCCAUACGCAUCUAAGAGAGAUAUGUAAUUACUUUUACAGUGCUGUCAGUACAUUUCGGAACGCACCCCGAGUUAUCCCAGAAUGAUUUGUUAAUCUUAGGAUUUAUCAAUUUCUAAGGUUAGUCUCUUAAAAGUUAAUCAAACGCCAGCCGAUGACGUUAGCCAACCGAAUGAUCGUAUUCGGAAAGUUUCCGAAAGUAUCGACGUCUCAUUGGCCAAUCUCGCUGGUUAAACCUCGGUUAACUUUGUUGGAGAGCAGCCCUAAUGUAAGACUUCCUAGUGGAUCGCGCGUGAUCGCGUGCGCGAGUAUAACAGCAGGCAAAUACCGAUGUCGUGUUGUUCGGAAUUUCCUAGUCCGCCAAGGAAGAAGAUACCCGACGUGAAUAUCCCUAGUCGACCAUACAUCCUAGGGAUUUUCUAAUAUCACUAGUCUGGGCUUUGGGCACGUUUUGAAACAAUCGUAUCGUAACCGUUUUGGAAUAGCAGAAGUCGUACAAAUUUUGUCAUAAACAUUUUUGAAAUAAAACAUCGCAAUUCAUUGAUAAACUAAAGAUUUUCGUAAUAUCAUUCCCACGAGACCCAACACAUGUCGUCUCCUGGCACUUGGUGCUCUCAGCAGGAAGGAGUCCGUGAUCGUAGCCCGAGCAUUUCAGCCGGAGGCUGUAAGAAUGAUCCAAGUUAAGCCUGAGGUUGCCUGCUGUUAGUUGCUGCUGGCUAUUGCCCACUAGAGAGAGAGACUCUAACGAUAAGGGAAUAUAGCCUUGGGGACAUCACGGAGACGACAUUCCUGCACGGAGCACCUCUAGCUGGGUCUUGAACUCAC